UACUCCUACGGGAGGCAGCAGUGGGGAAUCUUGCGCAAUGGGCGAAAGCCUGAUCCAGCCAUGCCGCGUGUGUGAAGAAGGUCUUCGGAUUGUAAAGCACUUUAAGUUGGGAGGAAGGGCAGUUACCUAAUACGUGAUUGUUUUGACGUUACCGACAGAAUAAGCACCGGCUAACUCUGUGCCAGCAGCCGCGGUAAU
rnacentral:rRNA from 1 species